GACGUUUCUAACCUAACAAGUUCUGUGGCACUCUCUCAUGCAAACACAAAUAUAAAAAUGACACAAAUAAUGCUAGUUACAUUUCUUAACCGUAGUUUAUCUGGCUCUAAACGGCCAAACUUGCCCGUUUAAUUUAAACUCGGAUUUGAUAUGUUUAACCGUGAAUAAAUUAUUGGUAGAAACCAAUAUUUCGAUUAACUUAACUUAAUCGAAUGUUACUAGGGAUUAUAGGUUUAAACUGUGUUGGUAGAAACGGGCCUUAUAGUGUCUGUAUAAUGUGGUUUAAAAAGUUUGAUUCGGGUGUUUAUCAUGAACACUGCAGACGUAAUGGAACUAGAAGCGAAGUGGAAGUAUUGUACGUUGAGUAUCCAUUCCAAACACACCAGAAGAUCGCAGAUCGGCUUGGCAUUCGUAAAACAACGGUAUCGCAUCAUGUGAAAGCAAUAAAAAAGGAGGCAGAAUUGAAAGUAUUGCUGGACAAAAUUCCGCACUAAAUACCACCGGCUUACAGAGAACUUUGGCAUUUCUGAAGCAGCAGCAUGGUAUCAUGUGAAAGCAAUAGAAGAAAACCGGGAGAAAGAAACACAAGAGAUGAAGAGGAGUAUAUAGAUGCAUAUACGACCUCGGAUACAGAUGAAGCCGAUAAUACUCUCGGUGCGGCGCGUACCUGACAAAGUGCUCACUUCAUAAGCACAGUGAGCGACUGCUUCCUUUUUACUUCCUUAUUACUCGGAGAGACUUGCGGCACUUGUCAGCAACGUUUGAAGAAAGUAACAAACUGUUAGCGUAAUAUUUAUAAUAUAUAUUGUUUGUAACAUUUGGAAAUGUUAGAAAAAUGUACAUGUCUCUGCUACAUAUACCUUCAUUCUGGUAACUACGAUCUCAAACACGUUUGUCACUAGUACUACUAUGUUUUACUAAACAUCAUAUCUGAAAAUUAAAUAAUUUUUUGUAUUUACAUAAUUGACUAUGAAACUUCUUCUUUCUCUGUACAAAUAAAUCGUCGCACCUGUACUUUAA